AGUCUGAAUCAGCUUGUGUGUUAGUGGAACGGUCUGGAAAGUCCGACGGUACAGGGUGAUAGUCCCGUACACGAAAGCACACAUGCUGUGAACUCGAAGAGUAGGGCGGGACACGUGGUAUCCUGUCUGAAUAUGGGGGGACCAUCCUCCAAGGCUAAAUACUCCUGACUGACCGAUAGUGAACCAGUACCGUGAGGGAAAGGCGAAAAGAACCCCGGCGAGGGGAGUGAAAAAGAACCUGAAACCGUGUACGUACAAGCAGUGGGAGCCUCUUUAUGGGGUGACUGCGUACCUUUUGUAUAAUGGGUCAGCGACUUAUAUUCUGUAGCAAGGUUAACCGUAUAGGGGAGCCGAAGGGAAACCGAGUCUUAACUGGGCGUUAAGUUGCAGGGUAUAGACCCGAAACCCGGUGAUCUAGCCAUGGGCAGGUUGAAGGUUGGGUAACACUAACUGGAGGACCGAACCGACUAAUGUUGAAAAAUUAGCGGAUGACCUGUGGCUGGGGGUGAAAGGCCAAUCAAACCGGGAGAUAGCUGGUUCUCCCCGAAAGCUAUUUAGGUAGCGCCUCGUGAACUCAUCUUCGGGGG
rnacentral:rRNA from 1 species